CAGCAGCCACGGUAAUACAGAGGGUGCAAGCGUUAAUCGGUAUUACUGGGCGUAAAGCGCGCGUAGGUGGUUCGCCAAGUUGGAUGUGAAAUCCCCGGGCUCAACCUGGGAACUGCAUCCAAAACUGGCGAGCUAGAGUAUGGUAGAGGGUGGUGGAAUUUCCUGUGUAGCGGUGAAAUGCGUAGAUAUAGGAAGGAACAUCAGUGGCGAAGGCGACCACCUGGACUGAUACUGACACUGAGGUGCGAAAGCGUGGGGAGCAAACAGGAUUAGAGACCCCAGUAGUCCCUGUCUCUUAUAC
rnacentral:rRNA from 1 species